CGUGUAGGCGGAUACUUUAGUCGGUUGUGAAAUCCCUGGGCUUAACCUAGGAAUUGCAGUCGAUACUGGGUAUCUAGAGUAUGGUAGAGGAAAGUGGAAUUCUCGGUGUAGUGGUUAAAUACGUAGAUAUCGAGAGGAACACCGGUGGCGAAGGCGGCUUUCUGGCCCAAUACUGACGCUGAGGCGCGAAAGCGUGGGGAGCAAACA
rnacentral:rRNA from 1 species